ensembl:snoRNA U3 Small nucleolar RNA U3
AAGACUAUAUUUUUCAGGGAUCAUUUCUAUAGUUCUUUACUUUGGAAAUGUGUUUUCGAAAGUGUUUGUCUCCCAACCCAUGAUGAUGAGCUAUAAUACUCCUUUCUGAGAGCGAAUUGAGGACAGAACUGUGGCUUUGUUCACAAGCUCUGUCGUUGAUGAGCGUUCAUAUUGUUUUUUUGGCAAUGUUGAAGAAAGGAGUAUGAUCUGAGUGGU